rnacentral:rRNA from 1 species
GACGUAGGGCGCGAGCGUUGUCCGGAUUUAUUGGGCGUAAAGAGCUCGUAGGCGGCUUGUCGCGUCGAAUGUGAAAACUCGGGCUCAACUCCGAGCUUGCAUUCGAUACGGGCAGGCUAGAGUUCGGUAGGGGAGACUGGAAUUCCUGGUGUAGCGGUGAAAUGCGCAGAUAUCAGGAGGAACACCAGUGGCGAAGGCGGUUCUCUGGGCCUUACCUGACGCUGAGGAGCGAAAGCGUGGGGAGCAAACAGG